rnacentral:rRNA from 1 species
UACGUAGGGUGCGAGCGUUGUCCGGAAUUACUGGGCGUAAAGAGCUCGUAGGUGGUUUGUCGCGUUGUCCGUGAAAACUCACAACUCAAUUGUGGGCGUGCGGGCGAUACGGGCAGACUGGAGUACUGCAGGGGAGAAUGGAAUUCCUGGUGUAGCGGUGGAAUGCGCAGAUAUCAGGAGGAACACCGAUGGCGAAGGCAGUUCUCUGGGCCGUAACUGACGCUGAGGAGCGAAAGCGUGGGGAGCGAACAGG